rnacentral:rRNA from 1 species
GACGAACGCUGGCGGCGUGCCUAAUACAUGCAAGUUGAGCGCUGAAGGUUGGUACUUGUACCGACUGGAUGAGCAGCGAACGGGUGAGUAACGCGUGGGGAAUCUGCCUUUGAGCGGGGGACAACAUUUGGAAACGAAUGCUAAUACCGCAUAAAAACUUUAAACACAAGUUUUAAGUUUGAAAGAUGCAAUUGCAUCACUCAAAGAUGAUCCCGCGUUGUAUUAGCUAGUUGGUGAGGUAAAGGCUCACCAAGGCGAUGAUACAUAGCCGACCUGAGAGGGUGAUCGGCCACAUUGGGACUGAGACACGGCCCAAACUCCUACGGGAGGCAGCAGUAGGGAAUCUUCGGCAAUGGACGAAAGUCUGACCGAGCCACGCCGCGUGAGUGAAGAAGGUUUUCGGAUCGUAAAACUCUGUUGGUAGAGAAGAACGUUGGUGAGAGUGGAAAGCUCAUCAAGUGACGGUAACUACCCAGAAAGGGACGGCUAACUACGUG